CCUAACCCAAAAACAGAGGCCCAUUUAAAUGCGGACAAGGCUAUAUACAACACAAACCCUAAGGUUUGUUUCCAUCGCCACUCCCAUAGCUACCGAUUUCUACCUUGCGUUCAAAGAGGCGAUUCGUUCGCUAGAGUUUCUCCUUCAACCAUGAGAGCUAAGUGGAAGAAGAAGCGUAUGAGGAGGUUGAAGAGGAAGCGCCGAAAGAUGAGACAGAGAUCCAAGUAGUCUACCCAAUUCUCGGCGCGUCGUUUCUAGGGUUUCAUCUUCGUUUACGUUAUUUGCUUUUCGAAUUUUGUUAUGUAAUAGUGGGUUAUGACUCUUCUAAACUUCAUGUUCUUGGAUCUACUCUUUAAUCAAUUGAGAUUUUCGUUCAUAAUCACUGUUAUUUUUUUUUUAAUAUUUGGUAUUUGUUUAAUGUUUAGUUAUUUAUCUGGUGAUAAUUGCGUAUUAUUCUUUUAUAUUUCUGUUUUUAUCGCCGGUUCUAUUUCGUUGGAUAUUUUCUUUUGAAAGUAGCUGAUUUAGUAUGUUGGUAUGUUAUUUUGUGAUUAAAUAAAUUAGGAUCCGAGUGAAAUUAUAGUUGGCAGUGGCACAGCAUUGUGAUCUUGCAAUAAUGUUAAAAUGUUUGAUGAAUCAGCUCAGGUUUUUAUCUUUGCUGAACCAGUUCUUAGUUUUUUGGUUUAUCUUUAACUAUAGCAUUAAAUAAUUUAUGUUGAAACGGCAUAAUUUCCUUGUGCAAUCAAAUGCCAAUAGCUGUUCUGUGUUUGCUGUGGAUGAAAUUGAUGAGAUAUUAUGGGGAAAAUUCUAUCGUGCCACUGCUUCAAUAUAGCUGCACCGUUCCGAUUGAGACACGUGUAAUGUAAAAAAAAAGAAAAAAAAGAGGUAACCAUGGUUUGGCUGGCCGCUCGAGGCUGGCCGCUCAAGGAAAAAAUUGCAGAAAUUUCCACCCGAAGAAAAAAUUGGAUUGGAUCCGUGUCUGAGAUACGUCGAGAAAUUUUGGCCGAGAGCAACAUUGUUCAACGGCGAAUUUGACGCUGAAUCCGAAUAUGUUUUCAGAUUCAAGAACGAUGGCGUAUAAAAAAAGUGCCUGAGAGUUUCGGUGAGGCGAUCACUGUUUCGGCCAACGGCUCUCGAUAUUUGCGCCAGAUUUUUCAACGGGAACAUGAUGAUUGCAGUUGCUCUUGCUGUUGCAGCCAUCCCUGAAGGGCUACCUGCUGUUGUUACAACGUGUCUAGCUCUUGGAACGAAACGAAUGGCUCGUUUAAAUGCUAUAGUUAGGUCAUUGCCAUCAGUAGAGACCUUAGGCUGUACAACAGUGAUUUGCAGUGACAAGACUGGUACUCUGACUACUAAUAUGAUGUUUGUCUCGAAGGUAUCUGUGCUCCAUUCUGCAAAUCAUGUUCCUGUUGUAGUUUAAUACAUUGUAAGUGGCACCACAUAUGCUCCAGAAGGUACUAUCUCCGACAGCACUACAGAGCUACAGCUUGGGCUUCCAGCUAAUUUUCACUGCCUUCUACACACAGCAAUGUGCUCUGCCCUUUGCAAUGAAUCUAUUAAUCAGAGGCAUGUCUGACUGAAACAUAAGGAAGUUUGGACAACCAUCUGGUUGCACCAUUUCGUUAUUGGGUAUAAUUUCCAACUAUUUAGAUAUGGAACCUGUUGUCCAAUUACCACUUGUGAUUUCCUCACCAGUCUAUGGCAGGCAGUAUUAUAGCUAAAGUCAAUGAUAUUGUUGGUUUGAGGAAUUCAACCACAUGCUUAUUUAUGGAAUGAGGAAUGAGUCUUUCAUAUGUGGCUAUUUUUUUCAAACUGACACUAAUGUUGUACUUAAAUACUAGCUUCUUGCAAUUUUUCCAUAGUUUUCUGUCAAUUUGUUUGUUUAGGUUUCUUUUCUUGCUUAGAUGAGGUGUUCCUUAUGUCCUCUUUUUGUUGUCAUGCACUUGGUUGGAGAUAAUGCUCCUCUACAUUUCACACCAGCUCUUCAGUUUUGAAAAACUCCACAAAUAUCUUGGUCUUAUCGGGCUUGCGUAUAGUUUAUGUCUUAUUAUUAUAUACGAGGACAAUCUUCUGCCUACUUGAUUUUCUUUUGCUUGUUUAUAGUUUGUUGUUGCUGGAACAUGUUUUUGACUAGAUCUGAAGAAUAUUAUGAAUUAUACAAGGCGAAAGAUGGAGGGGGCUUUCCUCUUUUUUAUGUUUGUCGAAUUUAGGUGAAUCUAUUCUAAUAGUUCAGCAGGUCAAAAUCAUUUGCACUGUCUUUUUAUAGUCUCUAUUCCCAAACUUACUCAUGGAGCCUUUUCUUUUACUUAGGAAAUUAUAUUACAACCCUGGAACUGGAGGGUUUCAGUGAGCGUCACUUCAAACAUAAAAAAAACAGCAGAACCAUUUGGUGUGUCCAAUAACUCACCUAAAUGCUCUUAUUUGCAGCUAUGAAACAGUUCAGUCCAAGGGAAAGCAAACAUCAGGUUAACCAGGACCAUGGACUUUAUAGUAUGUAUUAGUAAGGUGUUGUCGUUAGCUGUUAUCAGAGCUAUUCUCUCCCAAUUUUAUCCUGAAAAUUACUGUAGCCCCUGGCCGAUUGGCUCAAAGCAGCAGAAGCUAGCCACAUCUGUAUCAUUCAUUGGCUCAAAGCAGCAGAAGCUAGCCACAUCUGAUAUAAAGGAUGACGACGUUGCAAAGUGGAAGAAGGUGGAGAUGGUGUUGGAAGCAUAUGGAUCAGAUGCUAAUUCAAUAUUGCAGCUGACAACAUCAAAAAGGUCUACAAUAUGGCUUGAUCAAGUCUCAGCACUACCUUUGGACACUCACAAUGGACAUGGAUUUCGACAAGAUCUUUUCGACAUGCUUGCUGCUUUGAAGCCGGGAUUUAUUAGAUUUCCAGGUACUUGAUGUGUAACAGAUUUCCUAUUCCCAUUGUUUCAUAGGAUUCAGCUACAAGAGAACGUGAGUUUGGCGUGUUUUCUUGGAAGGCGGCUCGUUUGUGGAAGAGACAGACUGAUGAAUGCAUUUAGAUGAAUGCAUUAAUUUAGUUUUGAAAAGUCUAUUUCUCUUUCAUAACUCGUCAUGGAUGUGCCACUCGGAUGCCAAGCAGCUGAGAAGGUCUGAAAUUCGAAUCCUUUUCCGUUUAGCUAGUAAUGUUGCUGUCAAAUACUUCAUGGUUUGUUAGACUAGGAAAAAUGGAUUUCUAGGAACCAGAUUUGGGAUCUACACUUGCCUCAUUAUGCUAUUCAUUUUAUUCAUUAGGAAAGAUGAGAGUUAUUGGUUUUGAAAUUUUGAUCUAUUAAAUGACCAGUUCAUUUGUCAUGCUGUUGUGACUACUGUCAUCUGUUCAACUCGAUAACCUUAUUUGAAUUAGCAACUGACUUACAUAUUGCAA